GCACUUGUCACUUAUGGUGUGAAGCGUCUCCCCUUCUCCGACCACAUAGAUCUCCUCGCAGGGUCGUCGGAGAGUAAUAAUAGUGCUGCUAUUGUGUUCAUCAGUGAAGAUGGUUAGCAUGAUUAGGACAGUGGAAGAAACAAGGAGAAGAGCACAGUACCAUGAAGCUUCUUCAGCUGUGGCGUUUCCCUUUCUGGACUUCAAAGCCAUUG
rnacentral:lncRNA from 1 species